rnacentral:rRNA from 1 species
CCUACGGGAGGCAGCAGUGGGGAAUAUUGCGCAAUGGGCGAAAGCCUGACGCAGCGACGCCGCGUGAGGGAUGAAGGUCUUCGGAUCGUAAACCUCUGUCAGCAGGGAAGAACGGUCACUGUGCUAAUCAGCAGUGAAUUGACGGUACCUGCAAAGGAAGCACCGGCUAACUCCGUGCCAGCAGCCGCGGUAAUACGGAGGGUGCGAGCGUUAAUCGGAAUUACUGGGCGUAAAGCGCUCGUAGGCGGUAUGUCAAGUCAAGGGUGAAAUCCCCGCGCUCAACGUGGGAACUGCCUUUGAAACUGGCAAACUGGAGUGUGGGAGAGGAGAGUGGAAGUCCAGGUGUAGGAGUGAAAUCCGUAGAUAUCAGGAGGAACAUCAGUGGCGAAGGCGACUAUCUGGAACAUAACUGACGCUGAGGAGCGAAAGCGUGGGUAGCAAACAGGAUUAGAUACCCUUGUAGUC